rnacentral:rRNA from 1 species
UACGAAGGGGGCUAGCGUUGUUCGGAAUUACUGGGCGUAAAGGGCGCGUAGGCUGUGCUGUAAGUCAGGCGUGAAAUCCCCGGGCUCAACCUGGGAAUUGCGUUUGAUACUGCGGCGCUGGAAUGCAGGAGAGGAUGGCGGAAUUCCCAGUGUAGAGGUGAAAUUCGUAGAUAUUGGGAAGAACACCGGUGGCGAAGGCGGCAGCUCUGGCCUGUAAUUGACGCUGACGGCGCGAAAGCGAUGGGGAGCAA